rnacentral:rRNA from 1 species
CCCUUAGAUGUUCUGGGCCGCACGCGCGCUACACUGACGAAGUCAGCGAGCAUCUCCUUCGCCGAAAGGUGCGGGGAAUCUUGUGAAACUUUGUCGUGCUGGGGAUUGAUUUUUGAAAUUCUUGAUCAUCAACGAGGAAUUCCUAGUAAGCGCAAGUCAGCAGCUUGUGUUGAUUACGUCCCUGCCCUUUGUACACACCGCCCGUCGCUCCUACCGAUUGAAUGUUCCGGUGAGCUCUUCGGACUGCGCGGUCUGCAGUUUCUGCGUUCCGUGCGGAAAGUUGCGCAAACCUUAACAUUUAGAGGAAGGAGAAGUCGUAACA